UGGGGAAUAUUGCACAAUGGGGGAAACCCUGAUGCAGCGACGCCGCGUGGAGGAAGAAGGUCUUCGGAUUGUAAACUCCUGUUGUUGGGGAAGAUAAUGACGGUACCCAACAAGGAAGUGACGGCUAACUACGUGCCAGCAGCCGCGGUAAAACGUAGGUCACAAGCGUUGUCCGGAAUUACUGGGUGUAAAGGGAGCGCAGGCGGGAAGACAAGUUGGAAGUGAAAUCUAUGGGCUCAACCCAUAAACUGCUUUCAAAACUGUUUUUCUUGAGUAGUGCAGAGGUAGGCGGAAUUCCCGGUGUAGCGGUGGAAUGCGUAGAUAUCGGGAGGAACACCAGUGGCGAAGGCGGCCUACUGGGCACCAACUGACGCUGAGGCUCGAAAGUGUGGGUAGCAAACAGGAUUAGAUACCCUGGUAGUCCACACCGUAAACGAUGAUUACUAGGUGUUGGAGGAUUGACCCCUUCAGUGCCGCAGUUAACACAAUAAGUAAUCCACCUGGGGAGUACGACCGCAAGGUUGAAACUCAAAGGAAUUGACGGGGGCCCGCACAAGCAGUGGAGUAUGUGGUUUAAUUCGACGCAACGCGAAGAACCUUACCAAGUCUUGACAUCCCUUGACGAACAUAGAAAUAUGUAUUCUCUUCGGAGCAAGGAGACAGGUGGUGCAUGGUUGUCGUCAGCUCGUGUCGUGAGAUGUUGGGUUAAGUCCCGCAACGAGCGCAACCCUUAUGGUCAGUUACUACGCAAGAGGACUCUGGCCAGACUGCCGUUGACAAAACGGAGGAAGGUGGGGAUGACGUCAAAUCAUCAUGCCCUUUAUGACUUGGGCUACACACGUACUACAAUGGCGUUAAACAAAGAGAAGCAAGACCGCGAGGUGGAGCAAAACUCAGAAACAACGUCCCAGUUCGGACUGCAGGCUGCAACUCGCCUGCACGAAGUCGGAAUUGCUAGUAAUCGCGAAUCAGCAUGUCGCGGUGAAUACGUUCCC
rnacentral:rRNA from 1 species